AGCAGCAGCCGCGGUAAUGCGUAGGGUGCAAGCGUUAAUCGGAAUUACUGGGCGUAAAGCGUGCGCAGGCGGUUUGUUAAGACAGAUGUGAAAUCCCCGGGCUUAACUUGGGAACUGCAUUUGUGACUGGCAAGCUAGAGUAUGGCAGAGGGGGGUGGAAUUCCGCGUGUAGCAGUGAAAUGCGUAGAUAUGCGGAGGAACACCGAUGGCGAAGGCAGCCCCCUGGGCCAAUACUGACGCUCAUGCACGAAAGCGUGGGGAGCAAACAGGAUUAGAUACCCCUGUAGUCCCUGUCUCUUAUAC
rnacentral:rRNA from 1 species